AACGAACGCUGGCGGCGCGUCUUAAGCAUGCAAGUCGAACGGCAAGAGAGGAGCUUGCUUCUCUCCUAGAGUGGCGGACUGGUGAGGAACACGUGGGUAAUCUACCCUUAAGAUGGGGAUAGCUGCUAGAAAUAGCAGGUAAUACCGAAUACACUCGGCAUAUCACAAGAGGUGUUGAGGAAAGGAAGCUACGGCUUCGCUUGAGGAUGAGCUUGCGUCCCAUUAGCUAGUUGGUGAGGUAAAGGCCCACCAAGGCGACGAUGGGUAUCCGGCCUGAGAGGGUGAACGGACACAUUGGGACUGAGAUACGGCCCAAACUCCUACGGGAGGCAGCAGCUAAGAAUAUUCCGCAAUGGACGGAAGUCUGACGGAGCGACGCCGCGUGGAUGAAGAAGGCUGAAAAGUUGUAAAAUCCUUUUAUUGAUGAAGAAUAAGGGUGAGAGGGAAUGCUCAUCUGAUGACGGUAAUCGACGAAUAAGCCCCGGCUAAGUACGUG
rnacentral:rRNA from 1 species